CCUACGGGGGGCUGCAGUCGAGAAUUAUUCACAAUGGGGGAAACCCUGAUGGUGCGACGCCGCGUGGGGGAAUGAAGGUCUUCGGAUUGUAAACCCCUGUCAUGUGGGAGCAAAUUAAAAAGAUCGUACCACAAGAGGAAGAGACGGCUAACUCUGUGCCAGCAGCCGCGGAAAUACAGAGGUCUCAAGCGUUGUUCGGAAUCACUGGGCGUAAAGCGUGCGUAGGAUGUUUCGUAAGUCGUGUGUGAAAGGCGCGGGCUCAACCCGCGGACGGCACAUGAUACUGCGAGAAUAGAGUAAGGGAGGGGGAACCGGAAUUCUCGGUGUAGCAGUGAAAUGCGUAGAUAUCGAGAGGAACACUCGUGGCGAAGGCGGGUUCCUGGACAUUAACUGACGCUGAGGCACGAAGGCCAGGGGAGCGAAAGGGAUUAGAUACCCGGGUAGUC
rnacentral:rRNA from 1 species